AUCUAGCUGACGAGUUCCAAAUUGUAACGAUACGCGUGUCCUGGAU
rnacentral:hammerhead_ribozyme from 1 species